rnacentral:rRNA from 1 species
AUUGAACGCUGGCGGCAGGCCUAACACAUGCAAGUCGAGCGGAUGAAGGGAGCUUGCUCCUGGAUUCAGCGGCGGACGGGUGAGUAAUGCCUAGGAAUCUGCCUGGUAGUGGGGGAUAACGUCCGGAAACGGGCGCUAAUACCGCAUACGUCCUGAGGGAGAAAGUGGGGGAUCUUCGGACCUCACGCUAUCAGAUGAGCCUAGGUCGGAUUAGCUAGUUGGUGGGGUAAAGGCCUACCAAGGCGACGAUUCGUAACUGGUCUGAGAGGAUGAUCAGUCACACUGGAACUGAGACACGGUCCAGACUCCUACGGGAGGCAGCAGUGGGGAAUAUUGGACAAUGGGCGAGAGCCUGAUCCAGCCAUGCCGCGUGUGUGAAGAAGGUCUUCGGAUUGUAAAGCACUUUAAGUUGGGAGGAAGGGCAGUAAGUUAAUACCUUGCUGUUUUGACGUUACCAACAGAAUAAGCACCGGCUAACUUCGUG